rnacentral:snRNA from 2 species
UUGCUUUGGCAGCACAUAUACUAAAAUUGGAACUAUACAGAAAAGGUUAGUAUGACUCCUCCACAAGGAUGACACGCAAAUUCAUGGUGUUCCAUAUUUUU